rnacentral:rRNA from 1 species
GACAGAGGUGCCGAGCGUUAGGCGGAAUCACUGGGCUUAAAGCGUGUGUAGGCGGGCCGUUAAGUACCUUGUGAAAUCCCCCGGCUCAACCGGGGAACGGCUGGGUAUACUGGCGGUCUUGAGCCAUCCAGGGGCAGUCGGAACAGACGGUGGAGCGGUGAAAUGCGUAGAUAUCGUCUGGAACGCCGAAGGUGAAAACAGACUGCUGGGGAUGAGCUGACGCUGAGACACGAAAGCCAGGGGAGCGAACGGG